CCUCCCUCCCUCUCUACUCGUGCGCAGGAAACCCCUCAAGCGCAGGGAAGAACAGCAGCCCACCCUUCAAAACACCAAGCAGCGGCUCCCGUCUCCCAGCAACCUCCAUGGACGCCCCCUGUUUUCUUCUUCGCGCAGCAGCAGGGAGCCCCUGCUCGACCAGCUGCCAUGGCGUCCAAGUUUUCUGCGCAGCAGUGCCGAUUCAAAAAAAACAGCAGCCAUGAGAUCCCGCCCGUAUCGCUUGCAUUGACCCGAUUUGCGCAGCGCCUGCGCGCCGUCGUCGAAACCCGUGCUAGCCGUCAAAGCCAGUCGUCGCGCACGCGUGUUCGAUACAAGACCGGUCGGGUG
rnacentral:misc_RNA from 1 species